ensembl:snRNA U6 U6 spliceosomal RNA
GUGCUCACUUCUGCAGCACAUACACUAAAAUUGGAGCAAUACAGAGAUUAGCAUGGCCCCUGUGCGAGGCUGACAUGCAAAUUCAUGAAGCAUUCCGUAUUUUU